GACGUAGGGCGCAAGCGUUUGUCCGGAUUUAUUGGGCGUAAAGAGCUCGUAGGCGGCUUGUUGCGUCGACUGUGAAAACCCGUGGCUCAACCAUGUGGUCUGCAGUCGAUACGGGCAGGCUAGAAUUCGGUAGGGGAGACUGGAAUUCCUGGUGUAGCGGUGAAAUGCGCAGAUAUCAGGAGGAACACCGGUGGCGAAAGGCGGGGUC
rnacentral:rRNA from 1 species